GGGAAAGUAGCUCAGUGGUAGAGUGCUUGCCUUGCAUGCAUGAGGCCCUGGGUUCGAUUCCUUACCA
rnacentral:tRNA from 1 species